rnacentral:rRNA from 1 species
UACGUAGGGGGCAAGCGUUGUCCGGAAUCAUUGGGCGUAAAGAGCGUGUAGGCGGCCUGGUAGGUCUGCUGUGAAAACUCGAGGCUCAACCUCGAGACGUCGGCGGAAACCAUCUGGCUAGAGUCCGGAAGAGGAGAGUGGAAUUCCUGGUGUAGCGGUGAAAUGCGCAGAUAUCAGGAAGAACACCCGUGGCGAAGGCGGCUCUCUGGGACGGUACUGACGCUGAGACGCGAAAGCGUGGGGAGCGAACAGG